rnacentral:rRNA from 1 species
GACGAGGGGUCCAAGCGUUGUUCGGAAUCAUUGGGCGUAAAGCGGGUGUAGGUGGCUUUGUAAGUCAGGAGUGAAAUCCCCGAGCUUAACUUGGGAAGUGCUUUUGAAACUGCAGAGCUUGAAUGUGGGAGAGGAUCGUGGAAUUCCAGGUGUAGUGGUGAAAUACGUAGAUAUCUGGAGGAACACCGGUGGCGAAGGCGGGUCUCUGGGCCGAUACUGACGCUGAGGAGCGAAAGCGUGGGGAGCGAACAGG